UACAGAGGGGGCAAGCGUUGUUCGGAAUUACUGGGCGUAAAGGGCGCGUAGGCGGCCCGCUAAGUCGAACGUGAAAUCCCCAGGCUUAACCUGGGAACUGCGUCCGAUACUGGCAGGCUUGAAUCCGGGAGAGGGAUGUGGAAUUCCAGGUGUAGCGGUGAAAUGCGUAGAUAUCUGGAGGAACACCGGUGGCGAAGGCGGCAUCCUGGACCGGCAUUGACGCUGAGGCGCGAAAGCUAGGGGAGCGAACAGG
rnacentral:rRNA from 1 species